rnacentral:lncRNA from 1 species
CUGCGUCAGCAAACACUACUACAAACGCAACGUAUACUGACAACUCGGCAGUCAGCACGUGCUCUCCUCGCAAUACACGAUUACUUUUCGAGACUCCGGGCUCUCAGUUCUCUAUGGCUCGCAAGGCCACGAGAGUAACAGAAGAUCGAGAUUUUGUCCUGACUGACUCCCUGUUGGCGGUUAUGUUGAUGGAGGUGAU